CCUACGGGUGGCAGCAGUCGAGAAUCAUUCACAAUGGGGGAAACCCUGAUGGUGCGACGCCGCGUGGGGGAAUGAAGGUCUUCGGAUUGUAAACCCCUGUCAUGUGGGAGCAAAUUAAAAAGAUAGUACCACAAGGGGAAGAGACGGCUAACUCUGUGCCAGCAGCCGCGGUAAUACAGAGGUCUCAAGCGUUGUUCGGAAUCACUGGGCGUAAAGGGUGCGUAGGCUGUUUCGUAAGUCGUGUGUGAAAGGCGCGGGCUCAACCCGCGGACGGCACAUGAUACUGCGAGACUAGAGUAAUGGAGGGGGAACCGGAAUUCGCGGUGUAGCAGUGAAAUGCGUAGAUAUCGAGAGGAACACUCGUGGCGAAGGCGGGUUCCUGGACAUUAACUGACGCUGAGGCACGAAGGCCAGGGGAGCGAAAGGGAUUAGAUACCCUAGUAGUC
rnacentral:rRNA from 1 species